CAAAAAUCUUUUAAAAACUUUCAUCGAUCGCCUCUCAACUUCACAUUUGCUGUAACUUUGUCUAGAUUUGACGGAAUCUUCAUUGGAGUGGGUGAAUCUUUAAUUUGUAAUUCAAAGAAGUAUUAUCCAUAGAUUUGUUUCCCCUUUCCCAAAUCUUGCGAUGCCUCAACUCCAUUUCCAGAUAAGAGAGGAGCCGAAUCAAGAACCAGGGCAGACAGUCAAUCAGUUGCUUCGUUUAAGAUACUCAAAAAAAUUGACAAAGGCUCAGCAUUGCAGAGUUUCAAAGAGAAAGGAACACCUUCGUGGGACCGAUAUUAAAGCUUGGUUUAAGAGAUUCCAUGAUGAUAUCAAGGGAAAUGGUGCACUGCUUGCUGACUAGAUCUAUCAAAACCGUCAAAGAGAAGGAGAUGGGGUUCCACUACGGAGCAAAACCUAUUAAAUUCUCUAUUAAAGUGUUCUGAGUGGGAAGAGAACGAAGAAGAAGAGGACGAGUCAUCAGAUUUACAGUAUGAUUAGGGAUACAUGGAUAACCAUACACAUGUGGAGCUGCUAGAAGUGCUAAAAAAGACUGCAUGCACUGAAGAUAACAAGGGCGAGAGGUUCUCUCUCGCCAUGUUGAUUCUGAUCAAGACUCUACUUCUUCCAAAGUAUGCUACAUAUCGUUUCCCUAAGAAGCUUUUCAAGAGAGCACAGAAUUUGGAGUUGCUGUUGAGUUAUCCAUGGGGGAGAGACUCAUACAUGAUUUUGCUUGACUCAGUUCAAAAGACUGUUCCAUCAUGGCUGGCGAGGAACAAGUAUGAUCUUCAGGUUUCUCGAUAGUAGAUUUGGAAUCAAGUCCACAGCUUCAAAAUGAAUUCAGCUCACUCAACGCUAUGGAGCAACCAACGAAUUUCCUAUGCGAGAAAAAAAAAUUCAUCUGAUGUCUCCUUCAAGUCGCCAAGUUAGGAGCAUAGAGAUGCUUUGCGAUCUUAAAGUUGUAUGUGUCUUACCAUCUAUAGAAGAUGAUCUUGAAACCACUGUGUUUUUUAGAUGACAAACCUGAUGAAUAUCUUAAUACGCUUGUGGACAUUGUAACCAAGGGUUACAAGAUGACAAAAAAGGACUAGGAAAAAGAAACAGUUGACAUUAUAGAGGCAAUGGAUCAUAUAGCUCAGCAAUCUUUCCGGUUAGAACAUCUGCUGUGGGAGCAGGAACAUCUAAUGCGAGAGUAGGAACAUCUGCUGUGGGAGCUGGAACAUCUGCUAUAGAAGCAGAACCAUCUGAUGAACACUCAUGACAAAGCUAAACAAUCUCUACAAAAUAGUUCAAAAUGGACUAAAUGAUAUCAGUUACCGCUUUUCCAACAUAGAUGACAAGAUGGGAAUCAACCAAUGAUCAGAACACUUCCAUUGGUAAAUCUCCUCGCAGAGAUAUUAUUCCAGAACACGGUUUCAAUGAAGAGAUAAAGCAUUCUAAUAAUUCAGGAAAGCUAUCCUAAAAAACAUUCAAAACCUACCUAAAAUUGUAAAGGACCCGCAAAUAUACCUUGAAAAUGUUUAAAAUGUUAAUUUAACAUGUUUGCAGAUACACAGUGAUGGUGUUCAACUCCCUAGUCCGACCCCUCUAGAACACGGUUUUCGUAAUGAUGUAAGCUCUAUGCCUUCUCCAUAAUUUAGGAAAGCAUUUUUCUAAUUCAGGAAAGUUUUCUUAAAAUAUUCCAGAAACCUUACGAAAACUGUAAAAGACACACAGAGAUGCUUUGAAAAAUGUUUAAAAUGUUAAUUGAUGUUCAACUCCCAAAUCUGACCCCUCAAGAAAAUAUUUUCGAUGUAGAGGUAAGUCCUAUGCUUUCUCUCUAAUCUAAAAAGGCAUCCUCUUAAUUUAGGAAAGCCUUCCUAAAAUAUUAACUGACCUUCCAAAAAUUGUAAAGGAAGAGAAUGUUAAUUUAAAAUGGUUUCAGAUACACAGUCAUAAUAUUCAACUCCCCAAUCAGAAGCCUCAAGAACAAGUUUUUAAU